rnacentral:rRNA from 1 species
CAAUAGCGUAUAUUAAAGUUGUUGCGGUUAAAAAGCUCGUAGUUGGAUUUCUGCCGAGGACGACCGGUCCGCCCUCUGGGUGAGUAUCUGGCUCGGCCUGGGCAUCUUCUUGGAGAACGUAGCUGCACUUGACUGUGUGGUGCGGUAUCCAGGACUUUUACUUUGAGGAAAUUAGAGUGUUUCAAGCAGGCUUACGCCUUGAAUACAUUAGCAUGGAAUAAUAAGAUAGGACCUCGGUUCUAUUUUGUUGGUUUCUAGAGCUGAGGUAAUGAUUAAUAGGGAUAGUUGGGGGCAUUCGUAUUUAACUGCCAGAGGUGAAAUUCUUGGAUUUGUUAAAGACGGACUACUGCGAAAGCAUUUGCCAAGGAUGUUUUCAUUGA